UGACCCGUUUUUAGUUUGAUGGAUCCAAUAUAAUCUUUCAUUCACUCUAUCUAACCACAAAAUUCGUUUCAUCCAUCCAGACGCUCCACCUUUCUCUACAAACCCUAACCCUAACCUUCAUUUCAUCCAUCGAUCCUCCACCGCUCCUCCACCGCUCCUCCAUCGAACCGGUCGUCGCCAUCACCGUCUUCUCCCCUUCUCCACUCCAACAGUCGCUUCAUGGCUUCUUUCCCGGUGGCUUCAAGAUCCGACACUAUCUCAGCAGAUCCGACACCAGAUCCGACAUCAGAUCGAUUUCUAUGGCUUCUUUCCCGGUGGCUUCAAGAUCCGACACUAUCUCAGUAGAUCCGACACCAGAUCUACUGGUUUGACUGUAGGAUCUUCCUUUUGGUUGUGGGUUCGUCAACGAUGGUGCUUGUGGGUGGAAGAUCUGGCAAGAUCUAUGGUUUAUUUGUAGUAGAUUUCUCUCUAGAAUAGCACAACAAGCACUCUGUUCUUUGGUUUCGAACAGUGCGAGGUUAUGGCGUCUGCAAAUGCUGAGCUGGAGCGACUGCUUAAGGAGACAGGGAAACAGUUAUCGCUUCCUCAUGAUUAUGUACAGUUUACUUCUUUUUUUGAAUCAAUACUUUUCACUGUUAAUGAAAUAUUAUGGUUACACUUGAAGAUUUGUGGAAUUGUAUGAGUUUGGAAGGACAUUUACUGCCGUUUGAUUGAUUAUUUUCUUGAUGUUGCGAGAACGGAAGUGGUACAUCAUACAUGGGGUCAACUGGUCGAGCAACUAUUUCUAGCGGCACUUCAACAGGUAAGAUUUGUAUCUCUAAUGAAACAAAUUGUCUUAAUUGAUGUCUUUGUAGCAUUAUUUGGUACAACCUUUUGAUGUUGUGUAUUUGUGCAUACAGUUAUCAUCUUGCAGGUGUCUAUAAAGCUUAUGAUUUAAGAGAUGAGGGUUCCGACUACUUAGGAAAAGCUGUCUCCAAGGUGAGAACUAAUAGUCUGGGUUAGUGAGGCUAACUGCCUUUGCAGGCCAGAUCAGUCCCUUUCAUUUUCUAUAUCACUUUUGCGAUUUUCUUACAUGAUUUUGUUUUCUAUAUCACAUAAGCAUCUGGGAGGUUGGUUCUCAAGAAAGGAUGGUACAUAAACCCUUCAAGGUUUGGGAUUUAUCUGCUUGCUCAAUGCCUUUCUAGGUAAAGUUCCUUUUCCAAUUUUGUGUUCAUUGAUGCAUGUAAGUGAUGAAUUUUCAAUGGUUGUGAUUCAAGCAAACAAUUUGUUAGAUCAGCCAGGUUGAAUCAGGACCGUUGAGUUCGAUGAAUUCAGGUCCGUACGGAACGUUCAUCGGUGUCUAUGAGGGACAUGGUGGACAGGAGACGUCAAGAUUCGUUAACGAGAAUCUGUUUGCUAAUCUCAAGAGAUUUGCGUCUGAGGAUCAAGAUAUGUCUGCGAAUGUUAUCAAGAUAUGAGUUUCUUUCGGUUGUAAGAUAACAAUGGCGAAUAGCCUGCAAAUAGCGUCUGUGGGGACGUGCUGUUUGGUAGGUGUUAUUUGUAAAGGGUUGAUUUACAUUGCGAAUGCUGGAGAUUUGAGAGUGGUGUUAGGGAGAGCUGAUCGAGAAUGCAGGCGGUGAACGGUUAAAAAGCCAGAAGUCGAAGGUUACCGAAAUUCAAAAUGUGCUGAUUUGGCAAAUUUGGUAAACGUGGCGGCUCUCAAGGUGGCAAUGGACGGUGCAAAAUCGGUAAACAUGGCUGAUUUAGGAUUAUAGCGACUCAUAGCGAGAAUAGUGACAAUUAAUUUCUUUUGAUAUAAAUAGCAAGUAAAUAUAGCUAUAAAAUGGCUGGAUUAUAGAUUUUUGUUAAAUAUAUAUGUAAAAUGGCAUAUAUACCAGGGUAUUUUGAUAUAAUAUACAUAUAAAAAUAUUUAAAAAAUUUUCAUACGUAUCGCUGUUUAUAAAAUUUCCGCCCACUAUUUAUCGCUAUUCGCUAUGUGGCUUAUAGGUACCUUAUCGCUAUUUGUCGCUAUUCGCAAUUAACAACUAUGGGUGCCCUCGGAUGUUGGUGGAGUUGCUAGAGCACGAGCUUUUGCUAAAAAGUUAUCAGAUGCGCCAUUGACCAUUGUUGAUAAGCGGCGUCAUGGGCACAAUGUAGCUGAAGUAACGAAUUUGAACGGUGAUGUGAAAGGUAAAGUAGCAGUUAUGGUGGAUGACAUGAUCGAUACUGCUGGUACUAUUGCCAAAGGAGCAGACCUGUUGCAUCGUGAAGGGGAAGGGGCAUGGAAGUUUAUGCAUACAACACGCAUGCUGUUUUCAGUCCACUAGCAAUUGAUCGGUUGUCAAGUGGUCUAUUUCAAGAGGUGAUUACCACGAAUACCAUUCCGGUGUCUGAAAAGAACUAUUUACCACCGCUGACUGUCUUAUUGGUAGCAAACCUACUUGGCGAGAGCAUCUGGCGUGUGCAUGAUGAUUACCCUAUGUAAAGCAAGAUUUUACUGUUGUCUCAUGCUUGCUUCAGUCUCUAUAAGUACUUCAUCAAGCUCAACACUCUACAAACCCUCAACUACACUCAACUGACGUACUGCUUUUACAUCUACAGCUGUAAAGCAAGAUUUUACUGUUGUCUGAAAGAGAGCAUGCUUGCUUCAGUCUCUACAAAUACUUUAUCAAGCUCAACACUCUAUAAACACUCAACUGAGACGAAUUAAACUUUCAAAUUAAUAUAUUGACUCUUUGCAUCUGGAUCUUGCGUUGUUUCUCGGCUCUCACAUCAAGGUUUCACAUUUUUUGUCGGCUUUUUACAUCUGCCUCUUGCAUUGUUGUAAGUUCUUCCAAAUUUCUUGGUUUUUUUUGUAACUUUUAACUGUGGCUUUUAACUUUAGAAGGUUGUAAAUGUUGAAAUAACUGUGGUUUUUGGAUCUGUAUUCUUUAACAGCCUUUUUGUUUUUUUUUAUUAAUUAGUUUUUGUUGUUGAAUCCAGAUGUAUUGUUUAACUGCCUCUUUGUUUUUUAUUUAAUUGAAAGGGUUAAAAUCCUGUCAAAAUUUUAUCGGUUAAA